rnacentral:tRNA from 1 species
GCCUGGGUGGCUCAGUUGGUUAAGUAUCUGACUUCGGCUCAGGUCAUCAUCUCGUGGUUUGUGGGUUCGAGCCCUGCAUCAGGCU